rnacentral:rRNA from 1 species
AUUGAACGCUGGCGGCAGGCUUAACACAUGCAAGUCGAGCGGGGUGAUGGUGCUUGCACUAUCACUUAGCGGCGGACGGGUGAGUAAUGCUUAGGAAUCUGCCUAUUAGUGGGGGACAACAUCUCGAAAGGGAUACUAAUACCGCAUACGUCCUACGGGAGAAAGCAGGGGAUCACUUGUGACCUUGCGCUUAUAGAUGAGCCUAAGUCGGAUUAGCUAGUUGGUGGGGUAAAGGCCUACCAAGGCGACGAUCUGUAGCGGGUCUGAGAGGAUGAUCCGCCACACUGGGACUGAGACACGGCCCAGACUCCUACGGGAGGCAGCAGUGGGGAAUAUUGGACAAUGGGGGGAACCCUGAUCCAGCCAUGCUGCGUGUGUGAAGAAGGCCUUACGGUUGUAAAGCACUUUAAGCGAGGAGGAGGCUCUUUUGGUUAAUACCCAAGAUGAGUGGACGUUACUCGCAGAAUGAGCACCGGCUAACUCUGUGCCAGCCGCCGCAGUAA